rnacentral:rRNA from 1 species
GACGAACGCUGGCGGCGUGCUUAACACAUGCAAGUCGAACGGAAAGGCCCUGCUUUUGUGGGGUGCUCGAGUGGCGAACGGGUGAGUAACACGUGAGUAACCUGCCCUUGACUUUGGGAUAACUUCAGGAAACUGGGGCUAAUACCGGAUAGGAGCUCCUGCUGCAUGGUGGGGGUUGGAAAGUUUCGGCGGUUGGGGAUGGACUCGCGGCUUAUCAGCUUGUUGGUGGGGUAGUGGCUUACCAAGGCUUUGACGGGUAGCCGGCCUGAGAGGGUGACCGGCCACAUUGGGACUGAGAUACGGCCCAGACGCCUACGGGAGGCAGCAGUGGGGAAUAUUGCACAAUGGGCGGAAGCCUGAUGCAGCAACGCCGCGUGCGGGAUGACGGCCUUCGGGUGGUAAACCGCUUUCGCCUGUGACGAAGCGUGAGUGACGGUAAUGGGUAAAGAAGCACCGGCUAGCUACGU